CUGGAAGUGGCAUGUGCGACUUGAUGUGGCGUUGCAUGUGGGAGGCUCCGUUUGUAAUGUUCGCAGACUGGUCAAUUGAUGAUACGUGUGAACAGUGGUAGUGCUUGGGUGCCUCAAGAGGGAAUCGCAGAACAUAGCCAUAGAGCUAAAAGUCAUAGAAGAUUUUAAAACUGUUAUUUGAUUUUGUGUUGUUUCAGCAGUAGUAUGUCCUUCAACAAUCUGUUAUGUCCAAACAUGGAAUGAGUCGCAUGUGACUAAGUCAACCAAAUGUGGCAACAACAAUUAGUCAGCAAGGGAAUUAGUCAGUGAAAAACAACACAUUCAUUCCUGAGGAUGGUUUCGAGUUUAUCUAUGCUUAUUGCCAACUGGAAGGAUUCCUCUUUUUCACAUAACUUUACCAUUUUCAUGGUAUACUUAACUGCUUGUCAGCGGAUUGUCACUUGGCAUCAUUAGAAUGGUAUGGUCCAUAUCAGCAGUGUUAUGAUGCACUUCUUAAAUACACCAAUCCCUCAGAAAAUAUUCUAAUUGAAAUUGUGGAAAUUUCUGCCCUUCAUGCAGAACUGCACAAUGAUGGGUUCGUAUAAACAAGCUUGAAAUGACAAACCAACAGUAUUUUUGGUUUGGCUUACACAUGUUGACAUACUAUGACACGUUGAUGUUAGCUAAAUUGUUAUUAAUCAUAGGGGUAGGUAGUAUGAAAUGAAAUUUGGAUGUUUGUGUCUUUGUAUUUGUUUGAGAUGACUCUUGAUGCAGGAAGCUUUUCCUGCUUCUUACGAAAAGGGACAUUGGAUGCCUUAAUGUCUAAUACCAACCAAGUGUCAUUGCAAAGAUAGGUCAAAGAUAUAUUAAUAUAGAUUGCGCUCUGAGUGAUGGUGACAUGGUAUCUUACUGAUUUCUAUUGGUUUUAUUUGUGGAAAGAAUAUCCUGAGCGGGAGAAUUGGAUCACAAUUGACUAGAUGUUUUACUAUUUUAAAUGAGUUAAUCACAAAGAAUUUUUUAGUGAUUCAUGUUCUGUUUCUGUAAUGUAGGUAGAAUAAUCGCAAUGUCGGGGUUCUUAUUCGCGAGAGAUAUGCCAACUGUUUUCAAUUCGCAAUCGUAAUGGAUUUGAAGAGGAUAUUGAUGGAGUUUUGGUAUAAAAAAGUACAUGCUCGUUGGAAGGGCACCGAAGAGUUCCGGAUACUUUUACCAUCGCACAUGUUAUGGUAUUUUUACAAAAAUCAUUGAAGUACUUAUUUGGAACCCCUUGUUUUCUGUGGCCCCGUUUCCCCCUUGACUUAUAUUUUUUUCUUUAACCCUUUAGUGCGUGUAAAACUAAAGGCUAAAAGAAGAAGAAUGAUUCAAAAACUGUGGGAGAGAAUCAUCAAAGAAUUAUACUCGUUUAGGUAAUCCUUUCGGAUUCGAUUCCGCCGUUUAUGCUGCCCUUUUCUAUAAAGCACUUCUACAGAGUGACGACUCGUUGCGAGUGCAUGACAUCCAUAUCGAUAACGGUUUCCUGCGUAAAGACGAAUCCGAGCAAGUCGUCACUAGUUUACAGCAACUCGGGCUCAAUCUUCGGAGCUCUUUUCCAGACAGUGGCUUCUCAUUUCUAUUGUCAUACCAGCGAUCAGAUUUGAUGUUUCGAAUUGUUUUGGGUUGCUAAAGCAAGAUUGACUUUCUACGAUGCUUCCACCAACGUGCAUGGUCGCCAAACCUUGUUCGUUGUGUCGGACUGUAAAUCCGGAAGAUAAACGUCGAAUUAUUGGCGAUAUGUUUGUCAAAGUGAUAGAUAGAACGGCUAACGAUUUGAAUGUCACUUGGGAUAAUCUACUUCUCGGACAAGUUUCUUUGAGACCGGAUUUAAUUGGGGCCGCUUCGCAUAUGGCUUCUUCGCGCGCUGAUGCCAUAAAGACUCAUCAUAACGAUUCCGAAAUGGUUCGUCAGUUGAGCAUUUACGGUCGUGUAGUAGAACCUCUUAAAGGUAAUUGCGUUGUAGCAUUCCAGUAAGAUCUUUACUCUUUUCGCAAUUUUUCCCAACAGAUUUCAUUUCCAUAAAGAUGAAGUAAGGUCUUAGUUCGUGAGCUGGGUCUGUCCACAGUAUUAUUGGAAUGUCACCCGUUUCCUGGUCCUGGGGAUUGAUUGAUGAUACUUGUUGAUUAAUCCAUGAGGAAUGGAUAAGUGGAGGGUAAUGAAAGUUUACAAAUGUAAUUCCUCGUGGCAUUUUCAUUCACGCAUACAGGGCAGCUCGGGAGCAGACGAACCAUUGAAAGGGCCUUGCGUAGUCUAGCUGCAUCCAGCCAGAUACUAGUAGAACCCAAAACAUUGUUUUGACAAGUACUGUCAUAAUCUACUUCUCGGAUAAGGUAUCAAACUUCUCUUUUUUGUUGUUGCAUGUAUUAUAUUGCCUAAUAUCACUGCAUAGCUUUUAUUAACCAUAGUUUACUUUUACAACUAUCAAAAUCUUGAAAAAAUGAGGAAGUAGAAAAAUUAUAUAUAAUUUUUUUUUUUCGUGGCGAAACCGGUUGCC